ensembl:lncRNA
AUGGCGAAAAGAGGCACUGAAAGCAACAUGGUUGUUUCCAGGUUUGGGAAGAAAGACUUCGUUGUACCUAAAGGUCUGAAUGUUUGCUUCUUGACGGAUUCCAUGUGCCGGGGUUUGGACCAAUACUGUGAGGGAGCACAUUGUUGGGUUCAUCCCGGAACUACUUUGGUGCGUUCAGCACAACAGCACGUCUAUCAUCUGAGAAGAGUAAACGGUGAUGCCUUGUUGAUCAUCCACAUUGGGACAA